rnacentral:rRNA from 1 species
UACGUAGGGGGCAAGCGUUGCUCGGAAUUACUGGGCGUAAAGCGCACGUAGGCGGUCUUUUAAGUCGGGGGUGAAAUCCUGGAGCUCAACUCCAGAACUGCCUUCCGAUACUGGAAGACUUGAGUCCGGGAGAGGUGAGUGGAACUGCGAGUGUAGAGGUGAAAUUCGUAGAUAUCAGGAGGAACAGCCGGUGGCGAAGGCGGUUCUCUGGGCAUGUUCUGACGCUGAGGAGCGAAAGUGUGGGAGCGAACAGG